AGUAACGGCGAGCGAACGGGGAAGAGCUCAUAGCCGAACCCGAUGCUCCUUGCGGGCAUUGGGAAUGUGGCAUGUGGGAGGCGGCAUUUUCCGAGCUUGGCUUGUGGCGCAAGUCCCCAUGAGAGGGGCUGUCUACCCAGAGCGGGUGCUAGGCCCGUACCGCCUCGAGCCUUGCGCGGAGUCGCCGUUCUCCCGGGAGUCGGGUUGCUUGGGAGUGCAGCUCAAAAUGGGUGGUAAACUCCACCUAAAGCUAAAUAGUACCGAGAGGCCGAUAGCAAACAAGUACCAUGAGGGAAAGUUGAAAAGCACUUUGAAGAGAGAGUUCAAGAGUACGUGAAACCGUUCAGAGGUAAACGGGUGGGGCCUCGAAGUCCCGAGGCGGUGGUGGAUUCAGCUGCAUUCCCUUUGCAUCAUGCAAUGUGACUGCUUCCUAGGGGAGGUUGCAAAGCAUACGAUGUCAUAGGGAAACGGCGCAUUUCCACGCCCCGCACAGGAGGACGUCGCAAGCGGUUUGCCUGCCGUCGAAAGGGAGGACACGAAAGGUAACCUCCGAUUAAAUUUUAGUCGGCGGUGUUACAGCCGGUCCAAUCCCCGACUGACAGGUAGACCGAGGAUUUUUUGGAGUUCCCUUGUAAAAGCCAUGGCCCUGUGUGGCGAAGACCACCAUUGGUGCCACCUUAAUGGUGAACCGAUUGAUGGGAUUUGUUAUCGCUGGGUUUAAUAUGGCGGGGAUCCCAAGCUUGGCGGCGAGUAGGUCGGUCACCCACCCGACCCGUCUUGAAACACGGACCAAGGAGUCUAAGGCGCACGCGAGUUUCCGGGACUUGAACAUGCCCGAGGGCGCAAUGAAAGUAAAGGGUGGUCUUACCAUCUGAGUUGGGAUCCGGCAUUUUUAAAAUGCCGGCGCACCAACGGCCCGUCCGUGCCGAUUUCGGCUGGGCGGAGCUAGAGCGCGUGCCUUGGGACCCGAAAGAUGGUGAACUAUGCUUGGGCAGGACGAGGCCAGAGGAAACUCUGGUGGAGGUCCGCAGCGAUUCUGACGUGCAAAUCGAUCGUCAGACCUAAGUAUA
rnacentral:rRNA from 1 species